UACGGAGGGAGCUAGCGUUGUUCGGAAUUACUGGGCGUAAAGCGCACGUAGGCGGCUUUGUAAGUUAGAGGUGAAAGCCCGGGGCUCAACCCCGGAAUUGCCUUUAAGACUGCAUCGCUUGAAUCCGGGAGAGGUGAGUGGAAUUCCGAGUGUAGAGGUGAAAUUCGUAGAUAUUCGGAAGAACACCAGUGGCGAAGGCGGCUCACUGGCCCGGUAACU
rnacentral:rRNA from 1 species